rnacentral:rRNA from 1 species
GAAGAAGGCCUUCGGGUUGUAAAGCACUUUUGUCCGGAAAGAAAUCCUUGGCCCUAAUACGGUCGGGGGAUGACGGUACCGGAAGAAUAAGCACCGGCUAACUACGUGCCAGCAGCCGCGGUAAUACGUAGGGUGCGAGCGUUAAUCGGAAUUACUGGGCGUAAAGCGUGCGCAGGCGGUUUGCUAAGACCGAUGUGAAAUCCCCGGGCUCAACCUGGGAACUGCAUUGGUGACUGGCAGGCUAGAGUAUGGCAGAGGGGGGUAGAAUUCCACGUGUAGCAGUGAAAUGCGUAGAGAUGUGGAGGAAUACCGAUGGCGAAGCAGCCCCCUGGGCCAAUACUGACGCUCAUGCACGAAAGCGUGGGGAGCAAACAGGAUUAGAUACCCUGGUAGUCCACGCCCUAAACGAUGUCCACUAAGUUGUGGGGGAUUCAUUUCCUUAGUAACGUAGCUAACCGCGUGAAGUUGACCGGCCUGGGGGAUACGGGUCGCCAGAUUAAAACUCAAAGGGAUUGACGGGGACCCGCACAAGCGGUGGAUGAUGUGGAUUAAUUCGAUGCAACGCGAAAAACCUUACCUACCCUUGACAUGGUCGGAACCCUGCUGAGAGGUGGGAGUGCUCGAAAGAGAAC